AUACGUAGGGUGCGAGCGUUGUCCGGAAUUACUGGGCGUAAAGAGCUCGUAGGUGGUUUGUCGCGUCGUCUGUGAAAUUCCGGGGCUUAACUCCGGGCGUGCAGGCGAUACGGGCAUAACUUGAGUACUGUAGGGGAGACUGGAAUUCCUGGUGUAGCGGUGAAAUGCGCAGAUAUCAGGAGGAACACCGGUGGCGAAGGCGGGUCUCUGGGCAGUAACUGACGCUGAGGAGCGAAAGCAUGGGUAGCGAACAGGAUUAGAUACCCUGGUAGUCCAUGCCGUAAACGGUGGGCGCUAGGUGUAGGGGUCUUCCACGACUUCUGUGCCGUAGCUAACGCAUUAAGCGCCCCGCCUGGGGAGUGCGGCCGCAAGGCUAAAACUCAAAGGAAUUGACGGGG
rnacentral:rRNA from 1 species